rnacentral:rRNA from 1 species
GACGAACGCUGGCGGCGUGCCUAAUACAUGCAAGUCGAGCGAACCCGGGGUGCUUGCACCCUGAGGGUUAGCGGCGGACGGGUGAGUAACACGUGGGGAACCUGCCUUGCUGUCUGGGAUAACACCGGGAAACCGGUGCUAAUACCGGAUGUCCCCUUUCCGGCACCUGACGGAGAGGGACAAGGCGGCUUUGAGCCGCCGCAGCGAGAGGGGCACGCGGCGCAUUAGUUAGUUGGCAGGGUAACGGCCUCCCAAGGCGACGAUGCGUAGCCGACCUGAGAGGGUGAUCGGCCACACUGGGACUGAGACACGGCCCAGACUCCUACGGGAGGCAGCAGUAGGGAAUCAUCCGCAAUGGACGAAAGUCUGACGGUGCAACGCCGCGUGAGUGAUGAAGGUUUUCGGAUCGUAAAGCUCUGUUGUGAGGGAAGAAUAGGAUGGGGAGGAAAUGCCCGAUCUGUGACGGUACCUCACCAGAAAGCCCCGGCUAACUACGUGCCAGCCGCCGCGGUAA